CAAAGUCAUUAUCCUUUAUGUCUAUUUCAAGAGUAUGAUUUCUUGUCGUAUUCAAAUUUCUAGAGUCAUCGUUCACAAUGUCAUUCAUUAUGAUAUUUACAGAUUCAUCAUUUUUCGGACUUUUUAGGUGUGUAUCUUGUAGAUUCAUUAAACAAUGGCUUCUCAAUAUUCUUGCCUUCCAACUUCCAAGAUUCAUCAAUAUUACAACCAAAAUACACAUUGAUCACAAAAAAGAGGUAAACUCUCGUAUUCCAAUUGAACAAAGAAUACAUAAUCCCCACUUUCCACCAAAAUACGAUCAUGGAGAGUAUCCGACAUGUCGUGUGCGUGUGUGUGAUCUAGCAGUGAAACACUUGGGUCUUGAGAGUGUGCUCCUAUCAAGGUCUCAGAUUCGAAACCCGCUAGGUUCAAAUUGCUUAUUAAAAAAAAAAGUUAACAAAUUCAAAAUCUCUAAUUUAUUAAAAUUUAUCAGAGAAAAACAAAAAUCCCUAACCUAAACUCUCAAAUUGCUUUAUUUUUUCUCAUUAAUUUAUGAACUUUUUUUUAACUAGUAUAAUAAACAGCAUAACAUUUUUUUAAAAAUAAAAUAAUAACAUAACCUAACAUAACAAAUAUAAUGAUUUAUGUGUCUAUAAUGUAAAAAUAAAUAAAUAAAGAUCAUGAUUUAAAAUAGUAACUAUUAAAAUUGACUCCAACAUAUAAUAUCACACCAAUUAAUGUCAACUAGAAUAUCUUUUAUGUUAAUUAUUGUUAGUUUUUAUAAAACUAAUUCCAUUAUAGUAUUAUUUCCUUUUUGGAAUUUCCCCCUUAACAAUUAUGAAAAGCUAAAACACAAUUGGGUGAGCUAAAGUGGUAAACCCAACCCAUUGAUGGUCUUUAGAAAUAUUUUACAAUAAUUAAAAUUAUUUGAAUGGUUACUUACAUUCACCAAAUGCUAUAAACUAUCUUAUUAAAGUAAACUUUUUUUGUAAUUUUUACUAUAAGUUGAUCAAACAAAUUUUCAUUUAUUUCAUCCAAAGAGAAAAAAUAUAUGAAUUCCGUUAUCAAAUUCGUUUAUGUUUCGAUUAUUUACAUUUCACUACUUUUUGUUUUAAUCGAUUCUGCUCGAAUUUCUACAGGUCGACCCAUCCCACCUAUAUUUCCUUGCAAUGUUUAUGAUGAUUGUCCAUGGGAUUUGUGUCUUAAUGCUGUAGGUGUGUUUUGCAUGAAUGGUGCUUGUGGGUGCUUAUAGAGGAAUUUUAGUUUAUUAAUUGAGUUGAAAAAUAAAUCCAUAUUAUUAAACACCUGUCAUUUAAA